AUUGAACGCUGGCGGCAGGCCUAACACAUGCAAGUCGAGCGAGCGGCGGCCGGGUGAGUAAUGUAUGGGGACUGCCCGAUAGAGGGGGAUAACUACUGGAAACGGUGGCUAAUACCGCAUACUAUCGGAUAAUCCAUAUGGGAUUAGCUAGUAGGUGGGGUAAAGGCUCACCUAGGACACGAUCUCUAGCUGGUCUGCGAGGAUGAACAGCCACACUGGAACUGAGACACGGCCCAGACUCCUACGGAGGCAGCAGUGGGGAAUAUUGCACAAUGGGCGAAAGCCUGAUGCAGCCAUGCCGCGUGUAUGAAGAAGGACUUAGGUUUGUAAAGUACUUUCAGCGGGGAGGCGUUACCCGCAGAAUAAGCACCGGCUAACUCCGUGCCAGCAGCCGCGGUAAUAC
rnacentral:rRNA from 1 species